UUAUAGACCCGAUAGGAACGGUAUCUCCCGAUUUUUCAUCGGGAAUAUAGUGGAUAGCGGGACAAGUA
rnacentral:sRNA from 1 species